rnacentral:rRNA from 1 species
GUAGGUGGCAAGCGUUGUCCGGAAUUAUUGGGCGUAAAGCGCGCGCAGGCGGUUCUUUAAGUCUGAUGUGAAAGCCCACGGCUCAACCGUGGAGGGUCAUUGGAAACUGGAGAACUUGGGUACAGAAGAGGAAAGCGGAAUUCCACGUGUAGCGGUGAAAUGCGUAGAGAUGUGGAGGAACACCAGUGGCGAAGGCGGCUUUCUGGUCUGUAACUGACGCUGAGGCGCGAAAGCGUGGGGAGCAAACAGGAUUAGAUACCCUGGUAGUCCACGCCGUAAACGAUGAGUGCUAAGUGUUAGGGGGUUUCCCGCCCCCCUUAGUGCUGCAGCUAACGCAUUAAGCACUCCGCCUGGGGAGUACGGCCGCAAGGCUG